rnacentral:rRNA from 1 species
GACGAACGCUGGCGGCGUGCUUAACACAUGCAAGUCGAACGGAAAGGCCCUGCUUGCAGGGUACUCGAGUGGCGAACGGGUGAGUAACACGUGGGUGAUCUGCCCUGCACUUCGGGAUAAGCCUGGUAAACUGGGUCUAAUACCGGAUAGACGCCAUUUUUAAUGUGAUGGUUGGAAAGUUUUUUCCGUGUAGGAUGAGCUCGCGGCCUAUCAGCUUGUUGGUGGGGUAAUGGCAUACCAAGGCGGCGACGGGUAGCCGGCCUGAGAGGGUGGACGGCCAGAUUGGGACGGAGAUACGGCCCAGACUCCUACGGGGGGCAGCAGUGGGGAAUAUUGCACAAUGGGCGCAAGCCGGAGGCAGCGACGCAGCGGGGGGGAUGACGGCCUUCGGAUGGAAAACUCCUUUCGCUAGGGACGAAGCUUUUUGUGAAGUUACCUAGAUAAGAAGCACCGGCUAACUACGUG